rnacentral:rRNA from 1 species
AACGAACGCUGGCGGCAUGCCUAACACAUGCAAGUCGAACGAAGCCUUCGGGCUUGGUGGCGCACGGGUGCGUAACGCGUGGGAAUCUGCCCUUGGGUUCGGAAUAACAGUUAGAAAUGACUGCUAAUACCGGAUGAUGUCUUCGGACCAAAGAUUUAUCGCCCAAGGAUGAGCCCGCGUAGGAUUAGGUAGUUGGUGGGGUAAUGGCCCACCAAGCCGACGAUCCUUAGCUGGUCCGAGAGGAUGAUCAGCCACACUGGGACUGAGACACGGCCCAGACUCCUACGGGAGGCAGCAGUGGGGAAUAUUGGACAAUGGGCGAAAGCCUGAUCCAGCAAUGCCGCGUGAGUGAUGAAGGCCUUAGGGUUGUAAAGCUCUUUUACCAGGGAUGAUAAUGACAGUACCUGGAGAAUAAGCUCCGGCUAACUCCGUGCCAGCCGCCGCCGCGGUAA